rnacentral:rRNA from 1 species
GACGAACGCUGGCGGCGUGCUUAACACAUGCAAGUCGAACGGAAAGGCCUCUUUCGGGGGGUACUCGAGUGGCGAACGGGUGAGUAACGCGUGAGUAACCUGCCCUUGACUUUGGGAUAACUUCAGGAAACUGGGGCUAAUACCGGAUAGGAGCUCCUGCUGCAUGGUGGGGGUUGGAAAGUUUCGGCGGUUGGGGAUGGACUCGCGGCUUAUCAGCUUGUUGGUGGGGUAGUGGCUUACCAAGGCUUUGACGGGUAGCCGGCCUGAGAGGGUGACCGGCCACAUUGGGACUGAGAUACGGCCCAGACUCCUACGGGAGGCAGCAGUGGGGAAUAUUGCACAAUGGGUGGAAGCCUGAUGCAGCAACGCCGUGUGCGGGAGGACGGCCUUCGGGUUGUAAACCGCUUUCGCUCAUGACGAAGCUUUGUGUGACGGUAGUGGGUAAAGAAGCACCGGCUAACUACGUG